rnacentral:pre_miRNA from 1 species
UUCUUAGUAUGACUAUGUCCCGUGCAAUAUUUGGGAUGUAAUUAUACUAAAA